CUGCAGCUCCUCCUCGUCCUCACUCUCGCUCUCGCUGUCAGAGGAGUAUUCCUCCGUUUCGCUUCGGCCGUGCUGCUGACGACUGCAGGGGCGAGAGGCCAAGGACAACUUUACAGACCAGCAGAGCAAGCAUUAGGCUCAUUCAUUGUUACACUGGUUCAACAGCAGUUCACUCACGUCCCUUCCCCCAACACAUCAUCAAGUAAGAAGAAAGGGGAGCUUGGAGCAGAUAAAAGGGAAGAAAAGCAAGGAGGGAUUUGAUAACGCGUAUGCAAAUAAAAGACGGAAUAAUCAUCAAAUCACUACAAUAUUAACUGAUCAAAAAAACCUCAUGUUCCUUAUUUCAAGUUAUUUUGAGAACUUUUAACACCACUGGCUCUCCCGGGGAAUGGGAAGGAAGAAAGAGCAUUUGCAGCUGUAAGCUGGGCUGACAGCGAGAGUCUUCACUCCAGACGCGAACGCCUCCGGGCAGACGUGCACGGCCAGGGUGUAAGUACGAGGUUCAGAUGCUAGAUCAUGGCAUUAGGCUGGCUGGGAAGCUAAGGAGAGAAAUUAUUUCCUACCUAAAUCUUACUCUUACAAUAUACACUUCAAUCUUCUGUGAUACUGUUACCCCUAUAUAGUAAUAUUAAGUAACAAUGUAAUAUUCACCAAACUCUGAGAUCCUGACCAAUAUGAGUGAUAAACCUGAAAUGUGAGAAACAUUUUGCUUCCAAAAUAUAGCCAAUGAGCAAUGAAAGAAUAAAUACAUCCUAUAAAAGUGUGUUAUAACAGACAAUGACUGAUAAUAACCUAGUAUAUUGGCCAAAGAGGGCUUAAAAUAAAAAACAUAACCAUCAUCUCAUUUUUUUGCCUUUUGUGUUUGGCCUGAGUAAAAUAUCAAUAAUCUAAUUAAAGGAAAACAUACACUCGCCAUCAGCAGGAAAUGAGCAGCAAUAAAUGCAGGCCAAGUAUUCACGUUGCGAAGAGACACCAAUUACCACACUACCCAAUUCCCUGAAACGGCUCCUCAGACUCAGAGUCUCUGAAAUGCUUCUCUAAGAUCUACCUUUAUAAAUAAACCUUCAGGUUAAACCCCUGACCAAAUAACGAGAGGCCCCUUUGUACCUGAGUCUCAUAUGUGUGUGUGAUAUAAUUAAGCAAUAACGCUAUUUGAAGAAAUAACCGAAAUCUUAAAAAUUCUAUAGAU